AAAAUGUCUUUUUAACACCCGACAAGAAUCUGGGUUCAUUGUGACAAGGGACACAAACCUUGUGGCCUUCCUGUGAACAAAUACCCACCACAU
ensembl:snoRNA